rnacentral:lncRNA from 1 species
CAGGGAUAUUAUGGAGGUAACAGAGGCAAAGAAGCACCACUCUGACAUGGAAAAUAAUUUCCGUUGUCAGAUUAUUCUUGUUUAACUGGGUUUAACUUUAUAGUAGGGUUAAAUGUGGCCUUUGAAGGUUGGUGAGUAACAACAUCUUUUAAAACAUGGUGAAUUCCAACAAGAAAAGACCAAGGCAACAGACGCAUGAGAGUGAGGUAUUUACCUGAGGGCGAUUGAAGUCACCAGCUUAACAGUAGUGGAAAGACCUUAAGCCAGAGAACUCCAGGUUCAAGAACCACCACCUGCAAACUUGGCAAAUUUGGACAAAUGUCUCUCUGAGUUUCAUUGUCUUCAUCCACAAAUAAAGCAAGAUUACUUCACCUACAGAAUUGCGCAAUUAUGACCAGACCACGAGGGUAUGAAGGAUGAGGAAAAGGGAGCAGUCAUGGAGCUCCUUUUGGAGGGAGUCAUAAUUCCUUAGACCUCUGACAACUGGAACUCUCAAUCUGCCAGUGAUAGCUGACAUGAGCCCAAUAAGGAUGGUCUUUUCUAUUCAAAGAUAGGGACACCCUCUUUUUAAAGGACAUUCAAUUCAAAUGUAUCUUCUCUGGUUAAAGUAUGGUGAAGUCUGUCCUGUGGGCACUCCCCAUUGACCCCUAGCAGCUCUU